CUACGGGAGGCAGCAGUGGGGAAUCUUGCGCAAUGGGCGAAAGCCUGACGCAGCCAUGCCGCGUGAAUGAUGAAGGUCUUAGGAUUGUAAAAUUCUUUCACCGGGGACGAUAAUGACGGUACCCGGAGAAGAGGCCCCGGCUAACUUCGUGCCAGCAGCCGCGGUAAUACGAAGGGGGCUAGCGUUGCUCGGAAUUACUGGGCGUAAAGGGAGCGUAGGCGGGUCGUUAAGUUGGGGGUGAAAGCCCGGGGCUCAACCUCGGAAAUGCCUUCAAUACUGGCGACCUUGAGUAUGGGAGAGGUGAGUGGAACUCCGAGUGUAGAGGUGAAAUUCGUAGAUAUUCGGAAGAACACCAGUGGCGAAGGCGACUCACUGGCCCAUUACUGACGCUGAGGCUCGAAAGCGUGGGGAGCAAACAGGAUUAGAUACCCCGGUAGUCCG
rnacentral:rRNA from 1 species